GAUGAACGCUGGCGGCGUGCCUAAUACAUGCAAGUCGAGCGAACGGACGAGAAGCUUGCUUCUCUGAUGUUAGCGGCGGACGGGUGAGUAACACGUGGAUAACCUACCUAUAAGACUGGGAUAACUUCGGGAAACCGUAGCUAAUACCGGAUAAUAUUUUGAACCGCAUGGUUCAAAAGUGAAAGACGGUCUUGCUGUCACUUAUAGAUGGAUCCGCGCUGCAUUAGCUAGUUGGUAAGGUAACGGCUUACCAAGGCAACGAUGCAUAGCCGACCUGAGAGGGUGAUCGGCCACACUGGAACUGAGACACGGUCCAGACUCCUACGGGAGGCAGCAGUAGGGAAUCUUCCGCAAUGGGCGAAAGCCUGACGGAGCAACGCCGCGUGAGUGAUGAAGGUCUUCGGAUCGUAAAACUCUGUUAUUAGGGAAGAACAUAUGUGUAAGUAACUGUGCACAUCUUGACGGUACCUAAUCAGAAAGCCACGGCUAACUACGUGCCAGCAGCCGCGGUAAUACGUAGGUGGCAAGCGUUAUCCGGAAUUAUUGGGCGUAAAGCGCGCGUAGGCGGUUUUUUAAGUCUGAUGUGAAAGCCCACGGCUCAACCGUGGAGGGUCAUUGGAAACUGGAAAACUUGAGUGCAGAAGAGGAAAGUGGAAUUCCAUGUGUAGCGGUGAAAUGCGCAGAGAUAUGGAGGAACACCAGUGGCGAAGGCGACUUUCUGGUCUGUAACUGACGCUGAUGUGCGAAAGCGUGGGGAUCAAACAGGAUUAGAUACCCUGGUAGUCCACGCCGUAAACGAUGAGUGCUAAGUGUUAGGGGGUUUCCGCCCCUUAGUGCUGCAGCUAACGCAUUAAGCACUCCGCCUGGGGAGUACGACCGCAAGGUUGAAACUCAAAGGAAUUGACGGGGACCCGCACAAGCGGUGGAGCAUGUGGUUUAAUUCGAAGCAACGCGAAGAACCUUACCAAAUCUUGACAUCCUUUGACAACUCUAGAGAUAGAGCCUUCCCCUUCGGGGGACAAAGUGACAGGUGGUGCAUGGUUGUCGUCAGCUCGUGUCGUGAGAUGUUGGGUUAAGUCCCGCAACGAGCGCAACCCUUAAGCUUAGUUGCCAUCAUUAAGUUGGGCACUCUAAGUUGACUGCCGGUGACAAACCGGAGGAAGGUGGGGAUGACGUCAAAUCAUCAUGCCCCUUAUGAUUUGGGCUACACACGUGCUACAAUGGACAAUACAAAGGGCAGCGAAACCGCGAGGUCAAGCAAAUCCCAUAAAGUUGUUCUCAGUUCGGAUUGUAGUCUACAACUCGACUACAUGAAGCUGGAAUCGCUAGUAAUCGUAGAUCAGCAUGCUACGGUGAAUACGUUCCCGGGUCU
rnacentral:rRNA from 1 species